UUUGGAAGAUGUCGCAAGAUAUAGCGAGAUAUCUUUUAGAAAUAUAAAAGAUAUCUUUUUGUCUAUCUGGGUAAUGGUCAUCAUCUCUUCGACCAUGGAAUCCUCGCAGCUCGAGUAUUUGUUGACCUGCGAGACGGCAGCCGAAAUGUGGAAUAAACUUACCGCGGUUCAUGAACAAAAAAGUGAGUCGAAUAAAUUACUCUUAAUGACGAGAUUUCACGAUUACAAGAUGGCGUCGAACGAUAACAUGGCACAACACAUUGCGAAGAUAGAAAAUAUGGCGCGGCAGUUAAAAGAUGUCGGUGAAAACAUGUCGGACAUUAACGAUCAUGGCCAAAAUCCUAAAAAGCCUUCCCGCGAAAUUCAGUGCACUAGUCACAGCAUGAGACAGUGUCGACUCGAAUAAUCAAACGCUCGUGAAUCUAACACAACGUCUAAUCAAAGAAGAAGGAAGAAUACACGCGGCAGACGAAGCAGGUGGCGCGCUCGCCGUCAUAAGUGUAAAUUCCAACAAAGAGAAGCAAAAGGCAAAAAAGAAUACACAACGCCCUAGAAAGGAGGUGACAUGUUUCUAUUGUCAAAAACGCGGCCACAUCGCAAAGGAAUGUCAUAAGAAGAAGAGAGAUGCAAGUUAUCGAGAUAAUACUGAGAAAAAAAAGGAAGAGACGAUGCAUUUAAUGUCAGUGCAUUCACAGUCGAAGCACAUGCAAACCAACUUAUGAACGUGACGACGAAGAACGUGUGGCUUCUCGACAGCGGCGCCUCAAAGCAUAUGACAUUCCGUCAUGAUUGGUUUUCAGAACUACAGUCCUAUGAAAACGACUACGUUUCGCUUGGCGAUGGAACCACAUAUAAGAUAAUGGGUCACGGUACUAUACACAUUAAAAGACUCAUAGGCAAAACAUGGCUUAAAGGUACAACAUAGAAGUGAUGCAAAUCUGGUGGCUACUCCAAACUUGAAACGCUGGCACGAGCGUUUAGGCCACGUUAACUAUAGGUAUAUACAUCAGUUCUGCAAGGAAGUCUAAUUGACGAAAACAUAGAAGACAACAGCAGCGAUAAAGAUAUCUUUUGUGAAGCCUGCCAAUAUGGGAAGCAACACCAUAUGCCCUUCAAUAGAGCUGCAAAAAGGAAUCUUCUACCGGAAAAUUUAUUUAUAGCGACGUUUGUGGUCCAAUGUCUCAAAAUUUUAUAGGAGGUUCCAGAUUCUUUUUUCAGAGAAGAGUCAAAACACUACGUGUGGACAACGGCAGAGAAUACUGUAACGAGCAGAUAUUGAGAUACUUGUGCGCAAAAUUAAUAUGGAGGGAUUAAUAUGAAGACUAUACGCCCUAUACGCCAGAGCAAAAUGGACGGGCAGAGAGAGAUAAUAGGUCUUUAGUAGAAAGCGCUCGAGCCAUGUUGCAUGCCAAGGACCUGUCUAUUCAAUUGUAAGCUGAAGGAGUCAACACCGCCUGCUACAUAUUAAACCGGACACCGACGUCGUGUAACCAAGGUAAAACUUCUUAUGAAGUGUAGACAGAAAAAAGGUCACGUCUGGAUCACAUUAAAGUGUUCGGAUCAGUGGCAUAUGUUCAUGUUUCCACGAAAUUGAGAAAGAAAUGAGACAGGAAAUCUCAGAAGAUGAUAUUAAUUGGAUAUCAAGCCGAUUCCUGUAACUACAGAUUGUACGAUCCGCAUUCACGAAUUACGUUAUCCAGAGAUGUUAUUGUGCACGAGACAAAUGAUCAUUAAAGAACAGAGUCAAACAAUGAGGUACAAAUUCUAAUUGAUACGAAAACAUUGAUUCAAGAAGAAGAAAUCAAGCGAGAUCCUCGAGAAAAAGAUGACACAAUCCAGAAUCACGAAGAGGAAAAAGAUAGUACACAAAAUGACACUCGAAUCCUUAGAGACAGAAGUACACUUAAACCACCGAAUCGCUAUGAGGCAAAUAUAAUAGAGCAUGAUGAACCUACAUCAUAUGAAGAAGCGAUAACUGGAGAAGAUGCUGAGAAUUGGAAGACAGCAAUUAAUGAGGAGCUCAAAGCACACGAGACAAACAAUAACACCGUUAUAAAGCUCGACUUUGCGCCAAAGGAUUUACACAGAAGCACGGAAUCGAUUAUCACGAAAUAUUUUCGCCUGUAGCGCGAUACGACACUAUACGGACAAUGUUGGCAGUUGCAGCGAAGCAGAAUUUGGAAAUAGCGCAAUUCGAUGUAAAGACGGCGUUUCUCAAUGGCGAUUUAACUGAAGAAAUUUAUAUGAAGAUACCCCAAGGAAUUAAAGCACCAUCCGAUGGUAUAGUAUGUAAAUUACAAAAGACUCUUUAUGGACUUAAACAAGCAUUGCGAGAAUGGAACAGUAAAUUCGAUUCAUUUUUUAAACACUACCAAUUUGUACCAAGUAAAGCGGAUCCAUAUUUAUAUAUUGGUAAAUUCAAAUCGGACAAUGUAUACUUGAUCAUAUAUGUGGUUUGAUCUUAGCAACGUCAAAGCAAAUUUUGGACAAGAUAAUGAGUGAGUUAAAUUAAACUUUGACGUUACAGAAGGAAAUGUUAAUUAUUAUGUUGGUAUAGAGAUGAUUCGAGAUAGAGAAGCUAAAACAAUUUUUAUAUAUCAAUCAUCCUAUAUCGAGCGUGUUCUUGAACGCUUUAAUAUGUUAGAUGCGAAAAUUAAAGAGACUCCAGCUGAUUUAGGGAUGAGUUUAGUGUCGACGGGAGAUACUGACGAGCUUAACAACAUUCCAUAUUGACAAGCGAUUGGUAGUCUAAUGUUUCUUGCAAAUAUUACACGACGGAUAUUGCAUUUAUUGUAAAUUACUUAAUUGUAAGUCGUUUUGUUUCUAGCUAUAAUGAGCAACAUUGGCGAGCGGUAAAGAAUGUGUUCCGUUAUCUUAAAUAUACAGCUGAAAUGGGUAUUUUAUAUGAAAAUUCCACAGAAAACGCAUGUCCACAGGGAUAUUCAGACGCGGAUUAUGCGGGCAAUCUUGACACUAGGCGAUCUACGAGCGGUUACCUGUUUAGACUAGCUAAUGGAGUCAUAACCUGGAGAUCUUUACGUCAGAGAACUGUUUUAUUAAGUACCACCGAAGCGGAAUGUAUUGCGGCCUGUGAAUCAGUCAAGGAAGCCUUAUGCUUAAGCAGCUAAUGAGUAAUAUCGGAUAUCAAUGGGUGGAACCUCUGAUCAUUAAUAUGGAUAAUCAGAGUGCGAUCAAGUUAAUAAGAAACCCUGAGUUUCAUAAAAGAAGUAAACACAUCGAUAUCCAUUAUCACUUCAUUUGCGAACAAUUUAUGAGUAAAAUCAUCAAUGUUGAAUACGUGUCAAGUAAGGACCAAAUCGCGGAUAUUCUAACAAAAGUACUAAGUAAGGAUUUGUUUUGCAGCUUGCGCACUAAAAUGGGAAUGCGUAGGAUUAACAUAGACGCUUUCAAAAGACGGAAGUGUUAAGAAUGUCAGUUUAUCGAACGCCUAUCGAUAGUGACUCUCUCGGUCGAUACAUGUCGCGCGCAGUAAUACAGGAAAAAGGAAACCACUUGUGAAAUGAUACCAAACCCCUUUUUGUUAUUUUUGUAUAUAUGUUCGACAUUCCUCGUGCUUGCUGGUCGUCGUACAACACGUGAGCAGUCACAUCUUUUCAUUUUUCUUUUAAUCUAAAGUUCAAUUUUUAAUUUCUUAUCUUUUGCGUGUGGUAUGUCUAUGUACACUAACGUCGAAAGAGAAUAAAUAUUGUUUCCUAUA